UUCAUUUAGAUCUUAACUCAAAUCGAUUGAACUACCCUUAUACCAAAAAAAUCACAUGAGCUGCCCCACUCUAUAUUUUUAGGUUUUUUUUCCAAUUAGUGUUAAAUAAAUAAGACACGCUCAUUGUAGGACAAAGAGUUACCUAUAAAUUAUAAUUCUACAUAACAUAAAUCAACCCUUCACUUAAUCAAAGAUUAACAUGUACCAUUAAAAAAAACAAAAAGAUCCAUUGUAAGAGUUUAUGUACAGUUAUAUAAUUACAAUUGUACAAAUAUGCAUUAAUUAUUCCAUCUCUUUCUCUGAUCUUCACCCAACCCAAAAAUUUCAAAAAAGAUAUACCUACAAAAUUUUCUUUUCUUUUUCUUUUUCCUUUUUCUCAUCUAUAUAUUCAUUCCUCCAAAUUUUUUUAUUUUUAUUUUUUUCAAUUUUUCUACAUUUAACUUAAACAUCUUGAGAAUUAUCAUCAGAGAGAGGAAAACAUGUAUCUUCACCACCAGUAUUCCAUAGAAAAUGAGCAUAAUUUGCAGCAUAAUAA
rnacentral:lncRNA from 1 species